AGAGUUUGAUCCUGGCUCAGGACGAACGCUGGCGGCGUGCUUAACACAUGCAAGUCGAACGAUGAAGUUCCUUCGGGAAUGGAUUAGUGGCGAACGGGUGAGAAACACGUGAGAAACCUGCCUUUCAUUUUGGGAUAACUCCGGGAAACCGGAGCUAACACCGAAUACUCCGUCUCGGCGGCAUCGCUGAGCCGGGAAAAAAUUUUGAUGAAAGAUGGUCUCGCGGCCUAUCAGCUAGUUGGUGAGGUAAUGGCUCACCAAGGCGACGACGGGUAGCCGGCCUGAGAGGGCGACCGGCCACACUGGGACUGAGACACGGCCCAGACUCCUACGGGAGGCAGCAGUGGGGAAUAUUGGGCAAUGGGCGCAAGCCUGACCCAGCGACGCCGCGUGAGGGAUGAAGGCCUUCGGGUUGUAAACCUCUUUCAGUAGGGAAGAAGCGAAAGUGACGGUACCUAAAGAAGAAGCACCGGCUAACUAUGUGCCAGCAGCCGCGGUAAUACAUAGGGUGCAAGCGUUGUCCGGAAUUAUUGGGCGUAAAGAGCUCGUAGGUCGUUUGCCACGUCGAUUGUGAAAAUCUGAGGCUCAACCUCAGACCUGCAGUCGAUACGGGCAAACUAGAGUGUGGUAGGGGAGACUGGAAUUCCUGGUGUAGCGGUGGAAUGCGCAGAUAUCAGGAGGAACACCAAUGGCGAAGGCAGGUCUCUGGGCCAUAACUGACACUGA
rnacentral:rRNA from 1 species